AUCGAACGCUGGCGGCAGGCCUAACACAUGCAAGUCGAGCGGAGCGGCGAACGGGUGAGUAAUGCCUAGGAAUCUGCCUGGUAGUGGGGGAUAACGUCCGGAAACGGGCGCUAAUACCGCAUACUAUCAGAUGAGCCUAGGUCGGAUUAGCUAGGUGGUGGGGUAAAGGCUUACCAAGGCGACGAUCAGAAACUGGUCUGAGAGGAUGAUCAGUCACACUGGAACUGAGACACGGUCCAGACUCGUACGCGAGGCAGCAGUGGGGAAUAUGCGACAAUGGACGAAAGUCUGAGCCAGCAAAGCCGCGUGUGUGAAGAAGGUCUUCGGAUCGUAAAGCACUUUAAGUUGCGAAGCGUUACCAACACAGUAAGCACCGGCUAACUUCGUGCCAGCAGCCGCGGUAAUUG
rnacentral:rRNA from 1 species